CGAUGUUACCCCCCUCUCUCAAAGACAAUAAGACCAAAAAGCGAUCAGGCCGUUCAGCUCUGGCACCGAAGCCGUUCACCUCUGCCACAGGAGGCCGUUCGACGAAGCAGCGCUCAUCUUGUUGUGUUUUUAAAGUACAUGUUUUAUGUGCUUUUCAGUUCACCUACUUGACGAUUCUAUAGUACACUAGGUGUUUGUGUUGUGCCUUAAUAAGCAUUUGAGAAAACCUUGUAUGGAUCGAAACUACCAUAUGUUCUGUUCUAUUCUUGUAAAUGAAGCUCCACUUCUGUUUUGUUUGAAGUUAUUUGGCAUAAAAAUUAGUAUAUGUUCUACUGUAAAAGACAUAUAAAAUGUCUUGAUGCAUGCUAGCAGAAAUUUGAAAAUACACUCAGUUCAAGUUGUUUGUUGUUA